GUGUCAGCAGCCGCGGUAAUACGAAGGGGGCUAGCGUUGCUCGGAAUUACUGGGCGUAAAGGGCGCGUAGGCGGCGGUAGUAGUCAGGCGUGAAAUUCCUGGGCUUAACCUGGGGGCUGCGCUUGAUACGCUAUUGCUAGAGGACGGAAGAGGGUCGUGGAAUUCCCAGUGUAGAGGUGAAAUUCGUAGAUAUUGGGAAGAACACCGGUGGCGAAGGCGGCGACCUGGUCCGUUACUGACGCUGAGGCGCGACAGCGUGGGGAGCAAACAGGAUUAGAAACCCUAGUAGUCC
rnacentral:rRNA from 1 species